rnacentral:rRNA from 1 species
UACGGAGGGUGCAAGCGUUAUCCGGAUUCACUGGGUUUAAAGGGUGCGUAGGUGGGUUGAUAAGUCAGUGGUGAAAUCCCCGAGCUUAACUUGGGAACUGCCAUUGAUACUAUUGAUCUUGAAUACCGUGGAGGUCAGCGGAAUAUGUCAUGUAGCGGUGAAAUGCUUAGAUAUGACAUAGAACACCAAUUGCGAAGGCAGCUGGCUACGCGAAUAUUGACACUGGUGCACGAAAGCGUGGGGAUCAAACAGG